rnacentral:tRNA from 1 species
GCCUGGCUGGUUCAGUCGGUAGAACAUGUGACUCUUAAUCUCAGGGUCAUGAGUUCAAGCCCCCUGUUAGGUG